UGGGGAAUUUUGGACAAUGGGGGAAACCCUGAUCCAGCCAUCCCGCGUGUGCGAUGAAGGCCUUCGGGUUGUAAAGCACUUUUGGCAGGAAAGAAACGUCAUGGGUUAAUACCCCGUGAAACUGACGGUACCUGCAGAAUAAGCACCGGCUAACUACGUGCCAGCAGCCGCGGUAAUACGUAGGGUGCAAGCGUUAAUCGGAAUUACUGGGCGUAAAGCGUGCGCAGACGGUUCGGAAAGAAAGAUGUGAAAUCCCAGAGCUCAACUUUGGAACUGCAUUUUUAACUACCGGGCUAGAGUGUGUCAGAGGGAGGUGGAAUUCCGCGUGUCGCAGUGAAAUGCGUAUAUAUGCGGAGGAACACCGAUGGCGAAGGCAGCCUCCUGGGAUAACACUGACGCUCAUGCACGAAAGCGUGGGGAGCAAACAGG
rnacentral:rRNA from 1 species